rnacentral:rRNA from 1 species
CAGCCGCCACGGGAAUACAGAGGGUGCGAGCGUUAAUCGGAUUUACUGGGCGUAAAGCGUGCGUAGGCGGCUUCUUAAGUCGGAUGUGAAAUCCCUGAGCUUAACUUAGGAAUUGCAUUCGAUACUGGGAAGCUAGAGUAUGGGAGAGGAUGGUAGAAUUCCAGGUGUAGCGGUGAAAUGCGUAGAGAUCUGGAGGAAUACCGAUGGCGAAGGCAGCCAUCUGGCCUAAUACUGACGCUGAGGUACGAAAGCAUGGGGAGCAAACAGGAUUAGAGACCCCUGUAGUCCCUGUCUCUUAUAC